AGUGAACGCUGGCGGUAGGCCUAACACAUGCAAGUCGAACGGCAGCACAGGAGAGCUUGCUCUCUGGGUGGCGAGUGGCGGACGGGUGAGGAAUACAUCGGAAUCUACUUUUUCGUGGGGGAUAACGUAGGGAAACUUACGCUAAUACCGCAUACGACCUACGGGUGAAAGCAGGGGACCUUCGGGCCUUGCGCGAUUGAAUGAGCCGAUGUCGGAUUAGCUAGUUGGCGGGGUAAAGGCCCACCAAGGCGACGAUCCGUAGCUGGUCUGAGAGGAUGAUCAGCCACACUGAAACGUCGACACGGUCAAGCCUCCUACGGGAGGCAGCAGUAGGGAAUAUUGGACAAUGGGCGCAAGCCUGAUCCAGCCAUACCGCGUGGGUGAAGAAGGCCUUCGGGUUGUAAAGCCCUUUUGUUGGGAAAGAAAUCCAGCUGGCUAAUACCCGGUUGGGAUGACGGUACCCAAAGAAUAAGCACCGGCUAACUUCGUGCCAGCCGCCGCAGUAA
rnacentral:rRNA from 1 species